rnacentral:rRNA from 1 species
AACGAACGUUAGCGGCGCGCUUAACACAUGCAAGUCGCACGAGAAAGGGCCUCGGCCCCGGUAAAGUGGCGCACGGGUGAGUAACACGUGGGUAACCUGCCCUCGAGCGGGGGAUAACAU